GAUGAACGCUGGCGGCGUGCUUAACACAUGCAAGUCGAACGGAAAGGCCCAAGCUUGCUUGGGUACUCGAGUGGCGAACGGGUGAGUAACACGUGGGUGAUCUGCCCUGCACUUCGGGAUAAGCCUGGGAAACUGGGUCUAAUACCGGAUAGGACCACAUUUUGGAUGGUGUGGUGGAAAGUUUUUCGGUGUGGGAUGAGCUCGCGGCCUAUCAGCUUGUUGGUGGGGUAAUGGCCUACCAAGGCGUCGACGGGUAGCCGGCCUGAGAGGGUGUACGGCCACAUUGGGACUGAGAUACGGCCCAGACUCCUACGGGAGGCAGCAGUGGGGAAUAUUGCACAAUGGGCGCAAGCCUGAUGCAGCGACGCCGCGUGGGGGAUGACGGCCUUCGGGUUGUAAACUCCUUUCGCUAGGGACGAAGCGCAAGUGGCGGUACCUGGAGAAGAAGCACCGGCUAACUACGUG
rnacentral:rRNA from 1 species